rnacentral:snRNA from 1 species
GUGAUUGCUUUGGCAGCACAUAUACUAAACUUGGAAUGAUACAGAGAAGAUUAGCAAGGCCCCUGUGCAAGGAUGACACGCAAAUUCGUGAAGCGUUCCAUUUUUUG